UACGAGUGCCUCAAGCGUUAUCCGGAAUCACUGGGCGUAAAGGUUUGUAGGUGGUUGUAUUAGUCUCUUGUUAAAUUCUUCGGCUUAACCGGGGGCAUGCAAGGGAAACGGUACAACUCGAGGAUGCGAGGGGUCUGCGGAACUCAUAGUGUAGCGGUGAAAUGCGUUGAUAUUAUGGGGAACACCAAAAGCGAAGGCAGCAGACUGGAGCACUCCUGACACUGAAACAAGAAAGCGUGGGUCGCGAAUGGG
rnacentral:rRNA from 1 species